UACAGAGGGUGCGAGCGUUAAUCGGAUUUACUGGGCGUAAAGGGCGCGUAGGCGGUGAGAUGUGUGUGAUGUGAAAGCCCCGGGCUCAACCUGGGAAGUGCAUCGCAAACUGUCUGACUGGAGUAUAUGAGAGGGUGGCGGAAUUUCCGGUGUAGUGGUGAAAUGCGUAGAGAUCGGAAGGAACGUCGAUGGCGAAGGCAGCCACCUGGCAUAAUACUGACGCUGAGGAGCGAAAGCGUGGGGAUCGAACAGG
rnacentral:rRNA from 1 species